rnacentral:rRNA from 1 species
UACAGAGGGGGCAAGCGUUAUUCGGAAUUAUUGGGCGUAAAGGGCGCGUAGGCGGUUUGACAAGUCUGAUGUGAAAUCUAUGGGCUCAACCCAUAGCCUGCAUUAGAAACUGUCGGGCUUGAGUAUGGGAGAGGUGAGUGGAAUUUCCGGUGUAGCGGUGAAAUGCGUAGAUAUCGGAAGGAACACCUGUGGCGAAAGCGGCUCACUGGACCAUAACUGACGCUGAGGCGCGGAAGCUAGGGGAGCAAACAGG